rnacentral:rRNA from 1 species
AAUAAUAGUUAUAGUCUUUAAACUUAAAAAAAUUGGCGGUAUUUAAAACUAAUUAGGGGAAUUUGUUUAUUAAAUGAUAAUCCGCAAGAGACCUUACUUUAAUUUAUUUAAUUUAUUUAUUGCCGUUAUCAGAAUAUUUUUUAAGAAGUUAAAUUUUCUAGAAUUUUUAGAAAAACUUAUUUCAGGUCAUUAUGUAGUUUAUAUUAAAGUUUUGAUGAAUUACAAUAAAUUUUAUUUAUUAUGAAUAUUAAAUUGAAAUAUUUAAUUGAAAGUGGACUUAAUAGUAAAUUUUAAAUAUUAUGUUAUAUUGAAUUAAGAAUUAAAU